CAAGUCGAGCGGCAGCGCGGGGCAACCUGGCCGGCGAGCGGCGAACGGGUGAGUAAUAGAUAGGAACGUGUCCGAGAGUGGGGGAUAACUAGCCGAAAGGUUAGCUAAUACCGCAUAUUCUCUGCGGAGGAAAGCGGGGGACCAGUAAUGGCCUCGCGCUCACGGAGUGGCCUAUCUCCGAUUAGCUAGUUGGUGAGGUAAAGGCUUACCAAGGCGACGAUCGGUAGCUGGUCUGAGAGGAUGAUCAGCCACACUGGGACUGAGACACGGCCCAGACUCCUACGGGAGGCAGCAGUGGGGAAUUUUGGACAAUGGGGGCAACCCUGAUCCAGCCAUGCCGCGUGCGGGAAGAAGGCCUUCGGGUUGUAAACCGCUUUUAUUCGGAAAGAAGGAGUGCGGGUUAAUACCUCGCAUGACAGACGGUACCGGAUGAAUAAGCACCGGCUAACUACGUGCCAGCAGCCGCGGUAAUACGUAGGGUGCGAGCGUUAAUCGGAAUUACUGGGCGUAAAGCGUGCGCAGGCGGUUCUGAAAGUCAGCUGUGAAAGCCCCGGGCUUAACCUGGGAAUUGCGGUUGAAACUACAGGGCUAGAAUCUGGCAGAGGGGGGUGGAAUUCCACGUGUAGCAGUGAAAUGCGUAGAGAUGUGGAGGAACACCGAUGGC
rnacentral:rRNA from 1 species